rnacentral:rRNA from 1 species
UGAAGAGUUUGAUCCUGGCUCAGGAUGAACGCUAGCGGCAGGCCUAACACAUGCAAGUCGAACGGUAACAGGGAAAAGCUUGCUUUUCCGCUGACGAGUGGCGCACGGGUGCGUAACGCGUAUACAAUCUACCUUUUACAGGGGGAUAGCCUUUAGAAAUGAAGAUUAAUACCCCAUGGCAUUAUAAACCGGCAUCGGUUUAUAAUUAAAGUUUCGGCGGUAGGAGAUGAGUAUGCGUUCUAUUAGCUAGUAGGUGUGGUAACGGCACACCUAGGCAACGAUAGAUAGGGGCCCUGAGAGGGGGAUCCCCCACACUGGUACUGAGACACGGACCAGACUCCUACGGGAGGCAGCAGUGAGGAAUAUUGGACAAUGGAGGCAACUCUGAUCCAGCCAUGCCGCGUGCAGGAAGACUGCCCUAUGGGUUGUAAACUGCUUUUGUACAGGAAGAAACCUUUCCACGUGUGGAGAGCUGACGGUACUGUAAGAAUAAGGAUCGGCUAACUCCGUGCCAGCAGCCGCGGUAAUACGGAGGGUCCGAGCGUUAUCCGGAAUCAUUGGGUUUAAAGGGUCCGCAGGCGGUCAAUUAAGUCAGAGGUGAAAUCCCAUAGCUUAACUAUGGAACUGCCUUUGAUACUGGUUGACUUGAGUUAUACGGAAGUAGAUAGAAUAAGUAGUGUAGCGGUGAAAUGCAUAGAUAUUACUUAGAAUACCGAUUGCGAAGGCAGUCUACUACGUAUAUACUGACGCUCAUGGACGAAAGCGUGGGGAGCGAACAGGAUUAGAUACCCUGGUAGUCCACGCCGUAAACGAUGAGAGCUAGUUGUCUGGCAGCAUGCUGUUAGGUGACGCAGCUAACGCAUUAAGCUCUCCGCCUGGGGAGUACGGCCGCAAGGUUAAA